GUGUUGUAUGAAAGGAGAGAAGGUUAGCAUUCCCACUGACAACGAUGGAAGAGGCCCUUGGGCCUAACAACAUGCAUAUGGUUAAGGCACGGCCACCUACUUCGUGGCAUCUAAAGAGAGA